GAGUUUGAUCCUGGCUCAGAACGAACGCUGGCGGCGUGCCUAACACAUGCAAGUCGAACGUGAUCCAGAGCUUACUCUGGUGAAAGUGGCACACGGGUGAGUAACGCGUGGAUAACCUACCCUGGUAUCCGGGAUAACAUUCCGAAAGGGGUGCUAAUACCGGAUAAGCCCACGGGCUCUUUGGAGCUUGCGGGAAAAGGUGGCCUCUAUUUAUAAGCUACUGUAUCAGGAUGGGUCCGCGUACCAUUAGCUAGUUGGCGGUGUAACGGACCACCAAGGCGACGAUGGUUAGCUGGUCUGAGAGGAUGAUCAGCCACACUGGAACUGAGACACGGUCCAGACUCCUACGGGAGGCAGCAGUGGGGAAUUUUGCGCAAUGGGGGGAAACCCUGACGCAGCAACGCCGCGUGAGUGAUGAAGGCCUUUGGGUCGUAAAGCUCUGUCAGAGGGGAAGAAAUGAUAUAGUGCUAAUACCACUUUAUCUUGACGGUACCCUCAAAGGAAGCACCGGCUAACUCCGUGCCAGCAGCCGCGGUAAUAC
rnacentral:rRNA from 1 species